GCAAUUGUGGCGGAACUGGUAGACGCACAGGACUUAAAAUCCUGCGAGGCUUAUCCCUCGUGCCGGUUCGAUUCCGGCCAAUUGCACCA
rnacentral:tRNA from 1 species